CUUAGAACAAAUAUGUUUUGAUGUAUCAAGCACCAUCCUAAGAUGAAACUUAACCUGCAUCUUAAGUUUUGAGGAUCUUUGGCUAUGAGUUCUAAAUUAUGAUACGAAAACUUAUUGUAGAAGUUUUACAAAAGUAUUCCUAUGUUGAAUAUGUCAACUUACUUAACAAAAAGAACACAAGCCUGUUUAUGUUUUUGAAAGCUUUGUAGUUUUUCCCA
rnacentral:lncRNA from 1 species